GUGUCAGCAGCCGCGGUAAUACGGAGGAUCCGAGCGUUAUCCGGAAUCAUUGGGUUUAAAGGGUCCGUAGGCGGCUAUAUAAGUCAGUGGUGAAAUCCGUUAGCUCAACUAAUGAAUUGCCAUUGAUACUGUAUAGCUUGAAUGCUUGUGAAGUAGCUAGAAUAUGUAGUGUAGCGGUGAAAUGCUUAGAUAUUACAUGGAAUACCAAUUGCGAAGGCAGGUUACUAACAAGUUAUUGACGCUGAUGGACGAAAGCGUGGGGAGCGAACAGGAUUAGAUACCCUGGUAGUCCACGCCGUAAACGAUGGAUACUAGCUGUUCGACCUACAUUGGUAGGUUGAGUGGCUAAGCGAAAGUGAUAAGUAUCCCACCUGGGGAGUACGCACGCAAGUGUGAA
rnacentral:rRNA from 1 species